UGGCGUCAAUAGUUCGUUUCGGUUUUUUAGUUUUGGUGUAAUUGAAAGUUUUAACUGACAAAGUCGUAAAAUAAAUAUAGAAACAUGAAUAAAACUAUCCGGAGCAGUGGCAGGAAGGUAAUUCAUAGAGUGUUCUUGCAUUGUUUGGCAGAACAAGAACUGGAGUAAUUAUGCAUCCAAUUGAAGAUGUUUAUAGACGAACAGCCGAAAUGACAGGUGUUAGCAUAAAUACUGUCCGAAAUAUAGAAAAAUAAGGUGUUAGAAAUAAGGGCGUAUUUUCUACACCAGGGAAACACCGAAAAGGUCGUCCAAGAAAGGUUUUGGACAAUUUUGAUUUGUCGGCCAUAAGACAAAAAGUCAUUUUUUUCUACGUGGUGAUAAAACAUGUAAAAAAAUUCUUUAUUAUAUAUAUUAUAUAAAAUGUUCAUAAAAUAAUUUAAAUUGCCCCAGUGGUGAAGGUGCCUACUCUUCGUAAUCUGCUACCUGUUAUAAAAGCAGACCUAAAUUAUGAUGGAAGUCGGGAACAUCUGCGAAAAGUAUUACUUUCACUGGGUUUUAAAUAUAAGAAAUGUCAGUCUGACAGGCCUAAUAGAAAAAACUAACAUAGCUCUCAAGAGAUAAACAUAUCUCAAAAUUAUUAUGGACAACAGAAAUUUGCCAGAGGAACUGAGAAAAAAUAUUAUAUAUUUAGAUGAGAGCUAUGUCCAUGACUCAUAUAAACUUAAAAAAUGCUGGCAGUCAAUGGAUGUUGGUGGAGUAAAAGAAAAUGUGAGCAAAGGCAAGCGGUACAUUAUUGUACAUGCUGGCAGUGAGAAGGGAUUUGUUCCGAAUACCUUAUUGAUUUUCAGCGGAAAUAAUCAGAAUGAAAUUGGAAUGGUUCAUUUCAGAGUGGUAGUCCCACUCUGAAAUGAUAGUAAAAUGCCAUAAACCGGCGCCUCUAUAUGAAAUAGAUGAGAUUUUAGGAGAACAUGGUCACACAGUGGUACGACUUCCACCUUACCAUUGCGGUUUAAACCCAAUUGAAUUAAUUUGGGGCAUCGCGAAGCAUAAAAUCGCAUCAAUAAUGUGUGCUCAACUGAUAUAAAGAUGGCAGCUCAGCAAGCAUUUGAAAGUAUCACAGUUGAAAAUUGGGCAAAUUCAUGCAGACAUGUGAUGGAAAUUGAAAAAGAGUAUUUCGAGAGAGGCAGAACUUUGCACACCGAUAUAGAACUAUUAGUCAUUGAAUUCAAUGAUGACAGCAGCAGUGACGAGACAUAAGAAUCCUCUUAUUCUGAUAUAGCAGGAACGUCAAAC